rnacentral:sRNA from 13 species
UAAAUAAAAUUAAAUGGAAAUAACAAAUAAAAAUAAUUUGUCAAUUGGUACGACGUUGACGAACACGCGGUUCGUCGCGACAACAAAAGUACCAAAAGCGCUUCUUCCACCUUGUUUUGCCCAUUGUUUGGGGUAGCAAAGUU